rnacentral:lncRNA from 1 species
UUUGGUCUCCCACAUCAACCCACAGCUCCACGGUUGUGUGCCAACGAGUCUGGAUAACAUGGAAGAUGCUGAAUGAGAUAAUUAUGAUGGAUAAUUAGCUCCGAUCGUGCUUGUUUGUUGAGAUUCACCAUGCCCUUUUUAUUUAUUUAUUUUUAUUUACUUGUUUGAUUUCAUAUCACUAUCAUUUUAUUUUCUUAAUUUUCUUCUUUGUAUUGCUGAGUUGAUAUUUAAAUUUUUUAGACAUCUAAGGGGCGGGAGAAUUAGUUUGGUAAGGCCCUGUUUGGUCGGGAAAAGCGGGGAACCGUUUUGGAAGUUCAGCCUGGGUCACGUGAAAAGGAGAGGUUCGAGAGUCUUCGAAUGGGAGGUAUAAAAUCAGAAGAAGGUUCUCUGUUUAGGGUUGUUGGUCUUUUGGCGGUGAGAUUUUCGAUCCAAGUUCAGAGAGAAAAGUGAGAGAAAACAUAGAGAAGAGAGAGUUUGAGAGAACAAAGAGAAGUGAAGAUUGAGAGUUCCGGCAGAAGCUGUCGUGCCAUGGAGUUUCAGGCCAGCAAAUUUUCUUGAAUACUGCAUCUUCUUUUCAAGUUCCAAUUUUUCUAAGUUCCUCCAUGUAUUUAUGAAAAUCAAGCCUAUGAUCUACUGAUUUUAUUGUUCUUAUUUUUUUGGUUUAGAUUAGUUUACUUUAGAGUUUACGAUUGCAUUUCAUUCAUCCAUUCUUGAUCUGUAUUGGCUUUGGUGUUGUUGGAAUUUGAGAUUGGAUUUUCCGUAGGCUGUGUAUUUUAUAUCUUGAACUUUUGUGGAAUCCGAAG